AGAAGCUCAUAAAAAAGGCUGAGCACGCGCUCCCACUUUUCUGCGGCAUCAUUUGCUGCAGCCUCAGCAAGAUGCAAAGAAGGCUCGAUACACUCCAACACCAACUCUAGCACUCCCUGAAAACAAGGCCGUCCGGGUGUUCUGCUGGGCUUCGUGGUUCAGGCCCUCUGGUGGCGGCUGGAAGAAGGCGAUGAGAUCCUGCAGGCUGUGUGUGACCAUCUCCAUUGGCAACAUGAUAAGUGGAAGGAUGAAGCUGGACUCGCAGUAAUGGAUGUAAACUACCUGAUAAAGGUGUUGAAGAGGAGAGUGGUGCUCCGGAUGAGGCAGGCGGUGUGAGAUUCUUCCCUCUGAGAUCGAGACAGCGUCAACCCGUCAUCCAUAUGACCCUCACUAUGCAAGAUAGCCUGGAAAAGCAUCAUUUGCAAUUAUUCUUAUAGGCUUUAAUAAUAACAAAAUGGAUUUAUGAUCAUUUCCAGCAACUUUUAAAGGGACCAAAAGACACUUUGGGGGCGACACGGCUCAGAUGGUAGAGCGUCCGACCACAAACUUAGGGGUUCCUAGUUAGAAUACAGCUUCUGCCAUUCCAGUCACUGCAGUUGUGUCCUCGGGCAAGACAUUUCACCCACACUGGUAGAAAUGGAACUUAAGCGAGGCGAGUAGAUA